UUCUGAGGUGAGGGAGCUCCUGUUCUCUGAAGUCGUUUUUGGCUUACUGAUUUAAUCCAAAGCAAUCACGCUUAUUUAAAGGCCAUCGAUUAAUAUUUUCACCUUCUCUUUCUUUACAGAAACGUCUCCAACAUGAGAGCGAAGUGGAGGAAGAAGCGCAUGCGCAGGCUGAAGCGCAAAAGGAGAAAGAUGAGGCAGAGGUCCAAGUAAACUGCAACCUGUCUGCUGCAGCGGAGAUCCUGUUCAUCUUGGGUUCCCUUUGAGCCUUAUGGAAAGGUCCAACCUUAGGAAGAGGUGCUGUCCAUGGACUGAAGCCAGUCAGGUGUGAUGGAGGAAGCUUCUGUUUCCAGGCUGUCCAGAUGGAUGCUGGUCUUGACCUUUUGGACUUUCCAGUCUUUCCAGUGCAGCAUCUUUUUGUUAAUACAGUUUCAAUAAAAAGUUUGGUUUGAAA